CGCUCGCCGCCCUUGUACUUGACCGUCAGCGUAUGGCCGUCAUUGCCCGCAACCGUGCGGUCGUCGACCGCGCCGUUGGUCAUGCUGCUGUUGGGCUUCAGAUCCCACGGCGGCGUGACGUCUCCGGUGCCGCGCAUCGCUUCGGGGAAAACAUGGACCUCGACGGCUUUCUGGGUGCCGUCAGCAUCCGGCAAUGACGUAACGCCGAUGUAUGAGCCGACCUUGACGUCGGCAAGCGNNNNNCGCCGUCUGCGCCAUGUGCAGCGUCACGUCCGCGCCUUCGCGCGAUUUGACGUGAAGCGUU
rnacentral:misc_RNA from 1 species